ACUAAAAUAUAAGGGCACCAUUGAAUGUCGAAAGACUGACAAAAUGAACAACGAUUUUAAGCAGAAAGCUUGAGAGCGUCUAGCAAAUGAAUUUAAUAGCAUUUGUGGAGAGCCUUUCAGAGAUGCAAAAGUUCUUCGUGGCAAGUAUGAAAAUCAAAAAAAAAAGGUCAAAACAAAAAUUUGCUGAUGAAAAAACAUACCUACGAGGAACUGGAGGAGGGCCUGUAAAACCUAAGAUAAUUGACGAUAUCGACAAACAAGUUAAAGAAAUUAUAGGUACUCAGAUGAUAGGCUUUGAUUCAGAAUUUGAUGGAGAUAGUAGCCAGUUUUAGAAAAAUUAAUAAUAAUUCAAUUAAAAGUUGUAUUUGUUUCAGAAUAUAGCAACAUGCAGAUGGAAACUCCUGAGGGAUCUCGUUUUAAUAUUUCUGAUUCAGAGUUACCUAAUGAAGACAUAGAGCAAAUGGAGGAAGAUGGCAAAGAUUCUAAUGAGGAAGAUAGUUUAUUGUGAGCUGCUUUACCUACCAACUGGAACAAAAUAACCCCAGAAAAGCUUCGCACUCCAAAAUCGAAGCCAUUGAAAACCAUUUUGAAGAAGGCUUGUGCUAAUAAGGAAAAUAAAAAUGUUCUGUCAAAUAAAAUUAUUUCUUGGGCUGCAAAUAAAGCUGAAUUAGUCUCCAAGGAGACAGAAUAGCUUGAAAAAGAACAUCUUUUGAGAGUAGAAAUGAUGAAGGAACGCCACAAACAUCAAAUGGCACUAGAAACAAAGGAGAGUGAUGAAAGAAUUCUUAUUCAAGCUAAGAAAGCUGAACUAGAGCUGGAGAUCCUUCAACUAAAAAAAGAUCAGCUGCUAUCUGCUAAUAAAUGAUGUCUGUUUUUAAAAUUUAAAAAUAUGUAUUUGUAAAAUAAGUUGUAUUUUAUUGAUAAAAUAAAAAAAUGUUUUUAAAAUUUAA